GCACAUCGAUAGGUGAAGAGAAACUGAAAGUCAUACUUGGAAGAUGAUGUGACACCAUCCCCAUUGUCCUUUCCAGAGAUGAGCCUGACAGACUUGAAUUACUGACAACCCACAGCAGAAGCUGAAGAGAAAGAGUAUAGAUUGCCACAUGCCGGGACUGGAGUCUUGGCUUUCUAAAGAUCUUUUCCAUUACCUCUGCAGCAAGAACGACAUCUUCUAAAGACUCAGGAUGGCCUCUAAUCUUCACAGCCUAAUUCCCUGAUCCUCCAACCAGGAGGCCUCCCCAGGCCUGAAAGAAGUGUUUGUAAAGGAAGAAGUAACUGGAACAGAAUCAUCUGGCAAAAUCAACUGAGAAAAAUGGAAAAAAAGUACCACCUGGCUUCCUUGAUAGUCAUAUUUUUAGUGGCAAUAAUACCCAAAUAAUGUGGAUCCCAAUCAAGGGUUGAAGAGAGACCUUUUGUGAGGAGUUUGAAGGGGGAAUGUCCUUGAGUAUGUCGAAGAAAAUUGAGGAUGGUAAAAUGUUCACUGGAAGUGACAUGGGGUGAGCCAUGAAAUGCAUCCUCAAUGACAUCCUUUGAUAGACUCAGAUAAAGAAUGAAAUUCCUUUUCAUUUCAUUGAUUGGCUGUUUGAUAUGGUUUUGCUGUGUCCCUGCCCAAAUCUCAUCUUGAAUUGUAGUUCCCAUAAUCCUCAUGUGUCGUGGGAGGGACCUGGAGGGAGGUAAUUGAAACAUGGGGGCAGUUACCUCUGUGCUG